rnacentral:rRNA from 1 species
UACGUAGGUGGCAAGCGUUGUCCGGAAUUACUGGGUGUAAAGCGCGUGUAGGCGGCCGACCACGUCGGCGGUGAAAGCGCCCGGCUCAACUGGGCGAGGUCCGUGGAAACUGGUCAGCUGGAGGACGGUAGAGGCGAGUGGAAUUCCCGGUGUAGUGGUGAAAUGCGUAGAGAUCGGGAGGAACACCUGUGGCGAAGGCGGCUCGCUGGGCCGGUCCUGACGCUGAGACGCGAAGGCGUGGGGAGCGAACGGG